UGGUUGUCGUUUGUUUAUGUGUUACAUAUUUGUUUUUCGUUCUUUUUUUUACAUAAAUAAGGCCGUUAGUUUUCUCGUUUGAAUUGUUUUACAUUAUCUUAUCGGGGCCUUUUAUAGCUCACUAUUCGGUAUGGGCUUUGCUCAUUGUUGAAGGCCGUACGGUGACCUUUAGUUGUUAAUGUCUGUGUCAUUUUGGUCUUUUGUGGAUAG
rnacentral:lncRNA from 1 species